rnacentral:rRNA from 1 species
GGGUUGUGAGGUUAAGCGACUAAGCGUACACGGUGGAUGCCCUGGCAGUCAGAGGCGAUGAAGGACGUGCUAAUCUGCGAUAAGCGUCGGUAAGGUGAUAUGAACCGUUAUAACCGGCGAUUUCCGAAUGGGGAAACCCAGUGUGUUUCGACACACUAUCAUUAACUGAAUCCAUAGGUUAAUGAGGCGAACCGGGGGAACUGAAACAUCUAAGUACCCCGAGGAAAAGAAAUCAACCGAGAUUCCCCCAGUAGCGGCGAGCGAACGGGGAGGAGCCCAGAGCCUGAAUCAGUGUGUGUGUUAGUGGAAGCGUCUGGAAAGGCGCGCGAUACAGGGUGACAGCCCCGUACACAAAAAUGCACAUGCUGUGAGCUCGAUGAGUAGGGCGGGACACGUGGUAUCCUGUCUGAAUAUGGGGGGACCAUCCUCCAAGGCUAAAUACUCCUGACUGACCGAUAGUGAACCAGUACCGUGAGGGAAAGGCGAAAAGAACCCCGGCGAGGGGAGUGAAAAAGAACCUGAAACCGUGUACGUACAAGCAGUGGGAGCACAGAGCAAUCUGUGUGACUGCGUACCUUUUGUAUAAUGGGUCAGCGACUUAUAUUCUGUAGCAAGGUUAACCGAAUAGGGGAGCCGAAGGGAAACCGAGUCUUAACUGGGCGUUAAGUUGCAGGGUAUAGACCCGAAACCCGGUGAUCUAGCCAUGGGCAGGUUGAAGGUUGGGUAACACUAACUGGAGGACCGAACCGACUAAUGUUGAAAAAUUAGCGGAUGACUUGUGGCUGGGGGUGAAAGGCCAAUCAAACCGGGAGAUAGCUGGUUCUCCCCGAAAGCUAUUUAGGUAGCGCCUCGUGAAUUCAUCUCCGGGGGUAGAGCACUGUUUCGGCAAGGGGGUCAUCCCGACUUACCAACCCGAUGCAAACUGCGAAUACCGGAGAAUGUUAUCACGGGAGACACACGGCGGGUGCUAACGUCCGUCGUGAAGAGGGAAACAACCCAGACCGCCAGCUAAGGUCCCAAAGUCAUGGUUAAGUGGGAAACGAUGUGGGAAGGCCCAGACAGCCAGGAUGUUGGCUUAGAAGCAGCCAUCAUUUAAAGAAAGCGUAAUAGCUCACUGGUCGAGUCGGCCUGCGCGGAAGAUGUAACGGGGCUAAACCAUGCACCGAAGCUGCGGCAGCGACGCUGAUGCGUUGUUGGGUAGGGGAGCGUUCUGUAAGCCUGUGAAGGUGUGCUGUGAGGCAUGCUGGAGGUAUCAGAAGUGCGAAUGCUGACAUAAGUAACGAUAAAGCGGGUGAAAAGCCCGCUCGCCGGAAGACCAAGGGUUCCUGUCCAACGUUAAUCGGGGCAGGGUGAGUCGACCCCUAAGGCGAGGCCGAAAGGCGUAGUCGAUGGGAAACAGGUUAAUAUUCCUGUACUUGGUGUUACUGCGAAGGGGGGACGGAGAAGGCUAUGUUGGCCGGGCGACGGUUGUCCCGGUUUAAGCGUGUAGGCUGGUUUUCCAGGCAAAUCCGGAAAACUAAGGCUGAGGCGUGAUGACGAGGCACUACGGUGCUGAAGCAACAAAUGCCCUGCUUCCAGGAAAAGCCUCUAAGCAUCAGGUAACAUCAAAUCGUACCCCAAACCGACACAGGUGGUCAGGUAGAGAAUACCAAGGCGCUUGAGAGAACUCGGGUGAAGGAACUAGGCAAAAUGGUGCCGUAACUUCGGGAGAAGGCACGCUGAUAUGUAGGUGAAGUCCCUCGCGGAUGGAGCUGAAAUCAGUCGAAGAUACCAGCUGGCUGCAACUGUUUAUUAAAAACACAGCACUGUGCAAACACGAAAGUGGACGUAUACGGUGUGACGCCUGCCCGGUGCCGGAAGGUUAAUUGAUGGGGUCAGCGCAAGCGAAGCUCUUGAUCGAAGCCCCGGUAAACGGCGGCCGUAACUAUAACGGUCCUAAGGUAGCGAAAUUCCUUGUCGGGUAAGUUCCGACCUGCACGAAUGGCGUAAUGAUGGCCAGGCUGUCUCCACCCGAGACUCAGUGAAAUUGAACUCGCUGUGAAGAUGCAGUGUACCCGCGGCAAGACGGAAAGACCCCGUGAACCUUUACUAUAGCUUGACACUGAACAUUGAGCCUUGAUGUGUAGGAUAGGUGGGAGGCUUUGAAGUGUGGACGCCAGUCUGCAUGGAGCCGACCUUGAAAUACCACCCUUUAAUGUUUGAUGUUCUAACGUUGACCCGUAAUCCGGGUUGCGGACAGUGUCUGGUGGGUAGUUUGACUGGGGCGGUCUCCUCCUAAAGAGUAACGGAGGAGCACGAAGGUUGGCUAAUCCUGGUCGGACAUCAGGAGGUUAGUGCAAUGGCAUAAGCCAGCUUGACUGCGAGCGUGACGGCGCGAGCAGGUGCGAAAGCAGGUCAUAGUGAUCCGGUGGUUCUGAAUGGAAGGGCCAUCGCUCAACGGAUAAAAGGUACUCCGGGGAUAACAGGCUGAUACCGCCCAAGAGUUCAUAUCGACGGCGGUGUUUGGCACCUCGAUGUCGGCUCAUCACAUCCUGGGGCUGAAGUAGGUCCCAAGGGUAUGGCUGUUCGCCAUUUAAAGUGGUACGCGAGCUGGGUUUAGAACGUCGUGAGACAGUUCGGUCCCUAUCUGCCGUGGGCGCUGGAGAACUGAGGGGGGCUGCUCCUAGUACGAGAGGACCGGAGUGGACGCAUCACUGGUGUUCGGGUUGUCAUGCCAAUGGCACUGCCCGGUAGCUAAAUGCGGAAGAGAUAAGUGCUGAAAGCAUCUAAGCACGAAACUUGCCCCGAGAUGAGUUCUCCCUGACUCCUUGAGAGUCCUGAAGGAACGUUGAAGACGACGACGUUGAUAGGC